rnacentral:rRNA from 1 species
CCUAAAAUUGCAGAGGAAACGGCAAAACUAGAGGGCACAAGAGGUACAUGGAACUCUCGGUGUAGGGGUGAAAUCCGUUGAUAUCGAGGGGAAUACCAAAUGCGAAGGCAGUUUACUGGGACUUUCUUGACGCUGAGGCACGAAAGCGUGGGUAGCGAACGGGAUUAGAUACCCCGGUAGUCCACGCCCUAAACGCUGUCUGUUGGCUUUGGGGGGAAUCGACCCCCCCCGAGGCGAAGUUAACACGUUAAACAGACCGCCUGGGUAGUACGAGCGCAAGCUUAAAACUCAAAGGAAUAGACGGGGGCUCGCACAAGCGGUGGAUCAUGAGGCUUAAUUCGUCGCUAAGCGAAAAACCUUACCAAGGCUAGAAACUAUACUGCACGCCUCCCGAAAGGGAGGAAUCCUUCGAGGGUGUAUGGCAGGUGAUGCAUGGCCGUCGUCAGUUCGUGGCUUGAGCUGUUCCCUUAAGUGGGGAAACGAACGCAACCCUCGUUGCCUGUUACAAGUGUCAGGCGAGACUGCUCCCUCACGGGAGAGGAAGGUGAGGAUGACGCCAGGUCAGCAUGUCCCUUGAUGUCUUGGGCUGCACUCGUGAUACAAUGGGAAGUACAAAGGGACGCAAUACAGUAAUGUGGAGCAAAUCCUGAUAAAACUUUCCCCAGUUCGGAUUGUGGGCUGCAACUCGCCCACAUGAAGUUGGAAUCGCUAGUAAUCGUGAAUCAGAACGUCACGGUGAAUACGUUCCCGAGCCUUGUACUCACCGCCCGUCAAUACAAGGGAGCCGGAAGUGCCCGAAGUUCGUCCUAGCGGCGACCUACGGUAAGUUCGGUAACA